rnacentral:rRNA from 1 species
AUUGAACGCUGGCGGCAUGCCUUACACAUGCAAGUCGAACGGUAACAGGUCUUCGGAUGCUGACGAGUGGCGAACGGGUGAGUAAUACAUCGGAACGUGCCCGAUCGUGGGGGAUAACGCAGCGAAAGCUGUGCUAAUACCGCAUACGAGCUACGGAUGAAAGCGGGGGAUCGCAAGACCUCGCGCGGACGGAGCGGGCGGUGGCAGAUUAGGUAGUUGGUGGGAUAAAAGCUUACCAAGCCGACGAUCUGUAGCUGGUCUGAGAGGACGACCAGCCACACUGGGACUGAGACACGGCCCAGACUCCUACGGGAGGCAGCAGUGGGGAAUUUUGGACAAUGGGCGCAAGCCUGAUCCAGCCAUGCCGCGUGCAGGAUGAAGGCCUUCGGGUUGUAAACUGCUUUUGUACGGAACGAAAAAGUUCUCUCUAAUACAGGGGGCGAAUGACGGUACCGUAAGAAUAAGCACCGGCUAACUACGUGCCAGCAGCCGCGGUAACAC